rnacentral:rRNA from 1 species
GACGAACGCUGGCGGCGUGCUUAACACAUGCAAGUCGAACGGUAAGGCCCUUCGGGGUACACGAGUGGCGAACGGGUGAGUAACACGUGGGUGAUCUGCCCUGCACUUCGGGAUAAGCCUGGGAAACUGGGUCUAAUACCGGAUAGGACCACUGCCUGCAUGGGUGGUGGGGGGAAGCUUUUGCGGUGUGGGAUGGGCCCGCGGCCUAUCAGUUUGUUGGUGGGGUGAUGGCCGACCAAGGCGACGACGGGUAGCCGGCCGGAGAGGGUGACCGGCCACACUGGGACUGAGAGACGGCCCAGACUCCUACGGGAGGCAGCAGUGGGGAAUAUUGCACAAUGGGCGCAAGCCUGAUGCAGCGACGCCGCGUGAGGGAUGACGGCCUUCGGGUUGUAAACCUCUUUCAGCACCGACGAAGCGCAAGUGACGGUAGGUGCAGAAGAAGGACCGGCCAACUACGUGCCAGCCGCCGCCGUAA